GGCGAACGCUGGCGGCGUGCUUAACACAUGCAAGUCGAACGGAAAGGCCCUGCUUUUGUGGGGUGCUCGAGUGGCGAACGGGUAAGUAACACGUGAGUAACCUGCCCUUGACUUUGGGAUAACUUCAGGAAACUGGGGCUAAUACCGGAUAGGAGCUCCUGCUGCAUGGUGGGGGUUGGAAAGUUUCGGCGGUUGGGGAUGGACUCGCGGCUUAUCAGCUUGUUGGUGGGGUAGUGGCUUACCAAGGCUUUGACGGGUAGCCGGCCUGAGAGGGUGACCGGCCACAUUGGGACUGAGAUACGGCCCAGACUCCUACGGGAGGCAGCAGUGGGGAAUAUUGCACAAUGGGCGGAAGCCUGAUGCAGCAACGCCGCGUGCGGGAUGACGGCCUUCGGGUUGUAAACCGCUUUCGCCUGUGACGAAGCGUGAGUGACGGUAAUGGGUAAAGAAGCACCGGCUAACUACGUG
rnacentral:rRNA from 1 species